rnacentral:lncRNA from 1 species
UCAUUUUGGCUCUCUAGAGAGUUCUCUGAAUAAGGGAAAUGAAAAUCCCUCUUUCUCUCCAUCAUCGAUCCUCCAUGUUUUCAUGGUAUCAGAGCUUGGUUUUUCCGGACGCCUCCUCUCUGUUCUUCUUCGUUCCGAUCCAGCACUGUUAAGGUAUCACCGGUGAUUCGGGAUUUUGUGCGCUUUCAGCUAAUUGUGAAUCGGACUUUCCUUUCAGUCUCGCAUGUUGAUAUUUUCUCAAGCUCGGUGUUUCGGGUAGACUUCCCAUACCUUUCGUGUUUGAUUCCGAUGGAUUCACAAGCGUUGGAUUUACACUGAAUAGAGUUAGGGUUUUCUCUGCACAUUUGAAGGUCGCUCUUCUCCGGUAGCGUAGAAGUCGGGUAACCCUAUUCUCACUUUAGUUAGGAACUUGCAUGUGCUUUUG